rnacentral:rRNA from 1 species
GAUGAACGCUGGCGGCGUGCUUAACACAUGCAAGUCGAACGAUGAAGCCCAGCUUGCUGGGUGGAUUAGUGGCGAACGGGUGAGUAACACGUGAGUAACCUGCCCUUAACUCUGGGAUAAGCCUGGGAAACUGGGUCUAAUACCGGAUAGGAGCGUCCACCGCAUGGUGGGUGUUGGAAAGAUUUAUCGGUUUUGGAUGGACUCGCGGCCUAUCAGCUUGUUGGUGAGGUAAUGGCUCACCAAGGCGACGGCGGGUAGCCGGCCUGAGAGGGUGACCGGCCACACUGGGACUGAGACACGGCCCAGACUCCUACGGGAGGCAGCAGUGGGGAAUAUUGCACAGUGAGCGCAAGCCUGAUGCAGCGACGCCGCGUGAGGGAUGACGGCCUUCGGGUUGUAAACCUCUUUCAGUAGGGAAGAAGCGAAAGUGACGGUACCUGAAGAAGAAGCACCGGCUAACUACGUG